AGUGAACGCUGGCGGUAGGCCUAACACAUGCAAGUCUAACGGCAGCACAGUAAGAGCUUGCUCUUACGGGUGGCGAGUGGCGGACUGGUGAGGAAUACAUCGGAAUCUACUUUUUCGUGGGGGAUAACGUAGGGAAACUUACGCUAAUACCGCAUACGACCUACGGGUGAAAGCAGUGGAUCUUCGGACCUUGCGCGAUUGAAUGAGCCGAUGUCGGAUUAGCUAGUUGGCGGGGUAAAGGCCCACCAAGGCGACGAUCCGUAGCUGGUCUGAGAGGAUGAUCAGCCACACUGGAACUGAGACACGGUCCAGACGCCUACGGGAGGCAGCAGUGGGGAAUAUUGGACAAGGGGAGCAAGCCUGAUCCAGCCAUACCGCGUGGGUGAAGAAGGCCUUCGGGUUGUAAAGCCCUUUUGUUGGGAAAGAAAAGCAGCAGGUUAAUACCCCGCUGUUCUGACGGUACCCAAAGAAUAAGCAACGGCUAACUGCGU
rnacentral:rRNA from 1 species